rnacentral:rRNA from 1 species
UACGUAGGUGGCAAGCGUUGUCCGGAUUUAUUGGGCGUAAAGGGCUCGUAGGCGGCCAACUAAGUCGGAUGUGAAAUCCCCCAGGCUUAACCUGGGAACUGCAUCCGAUACUGGAUGGCUUGAAUCCGGGAGAGGGAUGCAGAAUUCCAGGUGUAGCGGUGAAAUGCGCAGAUAUCAGGAGGAACACCGGUGGCGAAGGCGGGUCUCGUGGGCCGUAACUGACGCUGGAGGAGCGAAAGCGUGGGGAGCGAACAGG